rnacentral:rRNA from 1 species
AUGGAAAAAAUGUUCAGUUCAGUUCAGGUGUGCAGAGCAGGAGGAACAUACGGGUGCCAAGGGGCUCUUGGGGAUCUUGUUGGGCGGCGGAGGGGGGUCGCCGCGGUCGGCGACGAAGCUCCGGCUGCGUGUCACCAACCUCGGCAUGACGCUGGUGCUCUUCCUGACGGAAGACACCGAGCUGCGCGCCGGCGAGGGGCGCUCCUUGACGGGCGUCCUCUCCUCGAAGCAGAGCGCGAUGGGCCUGACGACCUUGGGCGACGCCACCGUGGCGCCACCAUGGUUCUCGGGGCCCCAGGAGCCCCUGCGCGGCGCGGCGGGCUUCCUGGCGAGGGGCUCGGGGGUGCCGACGACGAGCGGGUGGCGCCCGGGGAUGGGCCUGGCGCCGACGACGACGGGGACGGGGGAGCCCGGGUCGAGGCGGUCGACGUGGAGGAACUGGCCGAGGCUGAGCUUGUUGGCGAGCACGAGGUCGGCCUGCGCGGGGGGUAG